rnacentral:rRNA from 1 species
UACGGGGGGGGUAAGCGUUGUUCGGAAUUACUGGGCGUAAAGGGCUCGUAGGCGGCCAACUAAGUCAUACGUGAAAUCCCUCAGCUUAACUGUCGAACUGCCGUGGAUACUGGGUGUCUCGAGGGAGGUAGGGGCGUGCGGAACUAUUGGUGGAGCGGUGAAAUGCGUUGAUAUCAAUAGGAACUCCGGUGGCGAAGGCGGCACGCUGGACCUCUUCUGACGCUGAGGCGCGAAAGCCAGGGGAGCAAACGGG